GUGUGCUCUUCCAAUCUUAAAGUUGCUGAUGGACAGAGUGGAUAAAUGAGCCAAAAUAUAGUUAAAU